GAUAAACCGGAGGAAGGUGGGGACGACGUCAAGUCAUCAUGGCCCUUACGAGUAGGGCUACACACGUGCUACAAUGGCGUAUACAGAGGGUUGCAAAGCCGCGAGGUGGAGCUAAUCUCACAAAGUACGUCGUAGUCCGGAUUGGAGUCUGCAACUCGACUCCAUGAAGUCGGAAUCGCUAGUAAUCGUGAAUCAGAAUGUCACGGUGAAUACGUUCCCGGGCCUUGUACACACCGCCCGUCACACCAUGGGAGUGGGCUGCAAAAGAAGUGGGUAGUUUAACCUUCGGGAGAACGCUCACCACUUUGUGGUUCAUGACUGGGGUGAAGUCGUAACAAGGUAGCCCUAGGGGAACCUGGGGCUGGAUCACCUCCUUA
rnacentral:rRNA from 1 species